rnacentral:rRNA from 1 species
CGCGCAGGCGGCAGGUCAAGUCAGAUGUGAAAGCCCCGGGCUCAACCUGGGAACUGCAUUUGGGACUGGUUUGCUAGAGAUCGGGAGAGGAGAGUGGAAUUCCCAGUGUAGAGGUGAAAUUCGUAGAUAUUGGGAAGAACACCGGUGGCGAAGGCGGCUCUCUGGACCGAUACUGACGCUGAGGCGCGAAAGCGUGGGGAGCAAACAGGAUUAGAUACCCUGGUAGUCCACGCCGUAAACGAUGUGUGCUAGACGUUGGGGAGCCUAGCUCUUCGGUGUCGCAGCUAACGCUUUAAGCACACCGCCUGGGGAGUACGGCCGCAAGGUUAAA